UGAGAUGUGUUCAGGGCGCUAGGUGUGUGGGACCGCAAUUCAGCUAGCAUUAAGGAAUCUUCUCUCCAAACGUUUCCAUUGUACCGGUGAAUCAAAGGCCGACAAAUUCAUUCAGGGAUGCCAAAAGAUGGAAGGUCGUACCGGCGCCGGAGCCGCUCCUCCAGCGGCGGAGACUCGGGCGGCGACAAGGACCGGCGGAAGCGCACCACCAGGCGGCGCUCGCGGUCGCGCAGCAAGGAGCGCUCCUCGCGC